rnacentral:rRNA from 1 species
UGGGGAAUAUUGGACAAUGGGCGCAAGCCUGAUCCAGCCAUGCCGCGUGGGUGAAGAAGGCCUUCGGGUUGUAAAGCCCUUUUGUUGGGAAAGAAAAGCAGUCGGUUAAUACCCGAUUGUUCUGACGGUACCCAAAGAAUAAGCACCGGCUAACUUCGUGCCAGCAGCCGCGGUAAUACGAAGGGUGCAAGCGUUACUCGGAAUUACUGGGCGUAAAGCGUGCGUAGGUGGUGGUUUAAGUCUGUUGUGAAAGCCCUGGGCUCAACCUGGGAAUUGCAGUGGAUACUGGGCCACUAGAGUGUGGUAGAGGGUAGCGGAAUUCCCGGUGUAGCAGUGAAAUGCGUAGAGAUCGGGAGGAACAUCCGUGGCGAAGGCGGCUACCUGGACCAACACUGACACUGAGGCGCGAAAGCGUGGGGAGCAAACAGGAUUAGAUACCCUGGUAGUCCACGCCCUAAACGAUGCGAACUGGAUGUUGGGUGCAAUUUGGCACGCAGUAUCGAAGCUAACGCGUUAAGUUCGCCGCCUGGGGAGUACGGUCGCAAGACUG